UGGAAGGAUCCGCUGAAGGUCAGCG
rnacentral:misc_RNA from 1 species